UACAGAGGGUGCGAGCGUUAAUCGGAAUUACUGGGCGUAAAGCGCGCGUAGGCGGCUUUGCAAGUCGGGUGUGAAAUCCCCAGGCUUAACCUGGGAACUGCAUUCGAGACUGCAUUGCUAGAGUAUGGGAGAGGGAAGUGGAAUUUCCGGUGUAGCGGUGAAAUGCGUAGAUAUCGAAAGGAACAUCAGUGGCGAAAGCGACUUCCUGGACCAAUACUGACGCUCAUGUGCGAAAGCGUGGGGGAGCAAACAGG
rnacentral:rRNA from 1 species